GAAAUGACUUGAGAGGUG
rnacentral:snRNA from 1 species